CAUUGAAACACUUCUUCCUGUUUGAUCACUGAAGUUAAGCAAUGUUGAGCCUAGUCAGUUCAUUGAUGGAUGACUGUUUGGGAAGACCCAGUGCUGUAAG